rnacentral:tRNA from 1 species
GCACCUAUAGUUUAACGGAUAGAACAGCGGCUUGCGGAGCCGCUAAUCCCAGUUCGAUUCUGGGUGGGUGCACCA